CCUACGGGUGGCAGCAGUAGGGAAUAUUGCUCAAUGGGGGAAACCCUGAUGCAGCAACGCCGCGUGGAGGAUGAAGGUUUUCGGAUUGUAAACUCCUUUUGUUAGAGAAGAUAAUGACGGUAUCUAACGAAUAAGCACCGGCUAACUCCGUUCCAGCAGCCGCGGUAAUACGGAGGGUGCAAGCGUUACUCGGAAUCACUGGGCGUAAAGAGCGCGUAGGCGGGAUAGCAAGUCAGAUGUGAAAGCCUAGGGCUUAACCAUAGAACUGCAUUUGAAACUUUUAUUCUAGAGUAUGGGAGAGGUAGGGGGAAUUCUUGGUGUAGGGGUAAAAUACGUAGAGAUCAAGAGGAAUACGCACUGCGAAGGCGACCUGCUAGAACAUAACUGACGUUGAUGCGCGAAAGCGUGGGGAGCAAACAGGAUUAGAUACCCGGGUAGUC
rnacentral:rRNA from 1 species